rnacentral:misc_RNA from 1 species
GAUGAAGAACGCAGCGAAAUGCGAUAAGUAGUGUGAAUUGCAGAAUUUAGUGAAUCAUCGAAUCUUUGAACGCACAUUGCGCCCGCGAGUAUUCUCGCGGGCAUGCCUGUCCGAGCGUCAUUUCAACCCUCAGGGCCCGCCUGCUUGCAGGCGCGGCGCUGGUGUUGGGGAUCGGCUACCCUGCCGUCCCCCAAAUACAGUGGCGGUCUCGCUGCAGCCUCCCCUGCGUAGUAGCAACACUCGCAUGCGGAGCGCGGCGCGGCCACGCCGUAAAACCCCCGACUUUCUGAACGUUGACCUCGGAUCAGGUAGGAAUACCCGCUGAACUUAAGCAUAUCAAUAAGCGGAGGA